rnacentral:rRNA from 1 species
GACGAACGCUGGCGGCGUGCUUAACACAUGCAGGUCGAACGGAAAGGCCCUGCUUUUGUGGGGUGCUCGAGUGGCGAACGGGUGAGUAACACGUGAGUAACCUGCCCUUGACUUUGGGAUAACUUCAGGAAACUGGGGCUAAUACCGGAUAGGAGCUCCUGCGGCAUGGUGGGGGUUGGAAAGUUUCGGCGGUGGGGGAUGGACUCGCGGCUUAUCAGCUUGUUGGUGGGGUAGUGGCUUACCAAGGCUUUGACGGGUAGCCGGCCUGAGAGGGUGACCGGCCACAUUGGGACUGAGAUACGGCCCAGACUCCUACGGGAGGCAGCAGUGGGGAAUAUUGCACAAUGGGCGGAAGCCUGAUGCAGCAACGCCGCGUGCGGGAUGACGGCCUUCGGGUUGUAAACCGCUUUCGCCUGUGACGAAGCGUGAGUGACGGUAAUGGGUAAAGAAGCACCGGCUAACUACGUG